ACCUCCAUAUUCACUACCCACAUUCUCUUCUGUUUUACUAUGUGAGUGUUAAAAGCAAUGACUAGAUGAUGUGUUAUAUGAUGAUUGUAAUGAUGUAAUAUUCUCAAAAGAAUUCGUUUUUUAUAAUACUUACAAAUUUCCAAUUCUCUGCUGCUCCUUGUGUUUUUCAGAAUCCUUUGGCUUUUCCUUUUCCCCUCCCUUUCUCUUCCCUCCCCUCAUCAUCCCUCCGCCUGUCUCUCUCUCUCUCCCUCUCUCUCUAUUAGACAUUCGCUCUUCCCAAAUUUUGGAGUUAUGUGUAUAGCCUUUGUACAUAAUGGAGUUUUGCUGUAUGUUUUAUACUAUAUAACAAAAUGCCAUGUAUCAUUGGUUUUUAAUUGAUUCUUUUUAUUGCAUUAUAGGUCAGGAGAGGACACAACUGAGAAUGUUAUGGGGCUUAUAAUUUUGCCUUGGACCUUGUUAGGCAGCCUUGCAUUAUUAGAUCUACCCAGCACUGGUUACAGAAAAGACAGGGUGGAAUUGAUGGUGCAACAGUGUGGACAGCUGGAAAGUUGGAGUCGGCUACACAUAUCUGAACUGAUCCAGUCAAUCCCAGAACAACCCUAACCUGACACCCGUCCCAUUGUACCUGUGUUUGUUUAACAUUUCACACUGCUCUUGUCCUAUUUAGAGUGGAGCAGAGCUGCUGCUCUGGUCGGAUCAUCUGAAGUGUUAUAAUAAUGCACGAUGAGGUCGGUAUAGUUCGCCAACAAAUGCUGACAUACACACAUGUGUAUGUCAACUUAUAAAUGCAACUUGAGGAGUGCAUAUUAUAUAACAGAAUGAAGAGAGUACACGAGUCACCAAAACAAACAAGUUUAUUCAAACAUGUAUAAACAGUCAUGUGUUGCUAUGUACAUCAAAACAACUGCUUGAGGUAGAGACAGUGUUUAUGUAUUCCACCCACAUCUGAUGAGUAUUAUUAAUCUACACCUCCUCAGUACCUAUUUGCCUCUACACAUGUUGAGUGAAUACUUAUAAGUUGCACCUGAGAAAAAAAUAAAUAAAUCAGAGUCCUGAAAAAAUAUAUAAUU
ensembl:lncRNA